rnacentral:lncRNA from 1 species
UCGGGAUUUCAGGGAAAUUUUCCUGGAAUUCUUUUUGGAGAUUUUUUUGGAGGUUUUGGAACUCGGAAAAAACUUUCGGGGAAUUUUCCGGGGGAUUUUGGAAAUGCGGGAAUUCAGAGAAAUUUGGGAAAUGUGGGAGUUGGGGGAGGGAGGGACCCGAGGGGAUUUGGGGAUUUUGGGGAUUUUCUGAAGGAGUUUGGGAACUUUUUGAUAAAAUUUGGGAAUUUGGGGAAUUUUCCAAUAAAAUUUUGGAGUUUUCUGAACGAGUUUGGAGAUUUUGGGAGUUUCUCAAUAAAAUUUGGGAAUUUCCAGGGCUUUGCCCCAAAAUUUCCGCAUUUCCCAACGUAUUUUGGGAAUUCCCAGAGGUUCCUGCUGAAAUCUGGGAAUUUUCCCAUAAAUCCGAAUUCCUGCAUUUUUUGGCCGGAAUUCCCGAAUUUUCCACAGGGAUUUGAGGAGUUUCUGGUGAAUUCUGGGGAUUUUCAGGAUUUUCAUCAUUUCCAGGCUGGAAUUUUCCCAUUUUUUGGGAUUUUCGGGAUUUUGGGUCAGAAUCCGUCAGAUUUUGGGGUUUUGGCUCCAAAAGUUCUGAUUUUGGGUGAGAAUCCGUCGAUAUUUGGAAUUCCAGGCUGGAAUCUGCUGGAUUUGGGGAUUUUGUCCUGGAAUCUGCUGGAAUUUGAAAUUUUGACCCCAAAAAUUCAGAUUUUGGGUCAGAAUCCGUUGAUUUUUGGGAUUUUGGGCUGGAACCUGCUGGGAUGUGGAAGUUCAGGCUGGAAUCUUCCAGAUUUUGAAAUUUUGGCCUCAAAGGUUCUGAUUUUGGGUCAGAAUCCGUCGAUAUUUGUGAAUCAGUCCUGGAAUCCUCUGGAGUUUGAAACGGUGACGUCACGGCCUUCGAUUUUGGGUCAGAAUCCGUCGAUCCUUGGAAUCUCGGGCUGGAAUCUGCUGAGAUUUCUGAAUUAGCCCUGGAAUCUUCAGCACAUUGAAAUUUCGACCCCAAAAGUUCCAAUUUUUGGUCAGAAUCCAUCGAGAUUUGUGAAUCAGUCCUGGAGUCUCCUGGAUUUUGACAUUUCGACCCCAAAAGCUUCGAUUUUGGGUCAUAAUUUGUCGAUAU